ensembl:snoRNA
UUGCCCAAUGAUUAUAGCAAGACGCGUUAUUAUGAGGACUAAUGCUGGAACUCUUUUUCCUCCUCCUACUUCUCUUUCUUUGUCYCUUCCUCUUUCACCUUGCCUCCUCCCUUUCCUUAGGGUAUCCAGCGUCCUAUGAGCAAGACUGAGAUAUGAGGGCAA